rnacentral:rRNA from 1 species
CAGUCGCCGCGGUAAUACAGAGGAUGCAAGCGUUAUUCGGAAUGAUUGGGCGUAAAGCGUCUGUAGGUGGCUUUUCAAGUCCACCGUCAAAUCCCCGGGCUCAACCCUGGACAAGCAGUGGAAACUACCAAGCUGGAGUACGGUAGGGGUAGAGGGAAUUUCCGGUGGAGCGGUGAAAUGCGUUGAGAUCGGAAAGAACACCAACGACGAAAGCACUCUGCUGGGCCGACACUGACACUGAGAGACGAAAGCUAGGGGAGCAAAUGGGAUUAGAUACCGCGUAGUCCCUGUCUCUUAUACA